rnacentral:rRNA from 1 species
GAUGAACGCUGGCGGCGUGCCUAAUACAUGCAAGUCGAGCGAACGGACGAGAAGCUUGCUUCUCUGGUGUUAGCGGCGGACGGGUGAGUAACACGUGGAUAACCUACCUAUAAGACUGGGAUAACUUCGGGAAACCGGAGCUAAUACCGGAUGAUAUUUUGAACCGCAUGGUUCAAAAGUGAAAGACGGUCUUGCUGUCACUUAUAGAUGGAUCCGCGCUGCAUUAGCUAGUUGGUAAGGUAACGGCUUACCAAGGCAACGAUGCAUAGCCGACCUGAGGGGGUGAUCGGCCACACUGGAACUGAGACACGGUCCAGACUCCUACGGGAGGCAGCAGUAGGGAAUCUUCCGCAAUGGGCGAAAGCCUGACGGAGCAACGCCGCGUGAGUGAUGAAGGUCUUCGGAUCGUAAAACUCUGUUAUUAGGGAAGAACAUAUGUGUAAGUAACUGUGCACAUCUUGACGGUACCUAAUCAGAAAGCCACGGCUAACUACGUG